UUGGACUGAAGGGGCCUCUU
rnacentral:miRNA from 1 species